AAAAGCAAAUAGGGAAAAACUUGGGCUGGAAUGGAAACAUUAUUUUUCAUAAUACAAUCACAGAAAAGUGAUUGUUUGAAAAGCACUAUGACCUUUACAGCCUCGUUUCGUAGCAGAUCUCCCAUUAAGCCGAGUAUGUGACGGCGUGCUUUGAAUGUUUCUCUCUCCUCCAUGUUGAGCGUGCUGAAGGGCGUAUUAGCAAUACGCUUAUCCUAGAUGGUGGCAUAGGUGUAACCAUGAGCUGUGUUUUUGAAUGAGAUGUGUGUCCCAGGUUUGGUCAAAUCAUGUGCAGAGCUGUUCGACCUCCUUCUUCAGGACCGGGCUGCGUGUGGAUCUUGCCUGAUUUUCUCAUCGCCAUGGGAA